rnacentral:rRNA from 1 species
CGCGUAGGCGGAGUACCAAGUGUCUUGUGAAAUCCCCCGGCUUAACCGGGGAAUUGCUCGGCAAACUGGUAUUCUUGAGGUAAGUAGAGGUACAUGGAACUCUUAGUGGAGCGGUGGAAUGCGUAGAUAUUAAGAGGAACGCCGAAGGUGAAGACAGUGUACUGGGCUUAUCCUGACGCUGAGGUGCGAAAGCGUGGGUAGCGAACAGGAUUAGAUACCCUGGUAGUCC